UUUUUCUCUCUCCUGGUGUGAGUCUUCUCUUUCGUGUAGCCUACAUAUUCUUAGUUUACUCCCUCACUCUGGUGAGGUCAUGAUACAACGUCUUUCUAUGUUUCCCAGGCUGGUGUCAAACUACUGGGCUCAAGUGAUCCUCUCACCUCAGCCUUCCAAAGUGCUGAAACUACAAAUGGGAGCCACCAGGCCAGGUCUUGAAUAACUUUUGUUGCUGACCUUUUGGAAAAUUGACAGACUCCACUCACACCAUCCCCAUCCAUUCUCCCACCAUCUGCCUUCCUUCCAAGCUUAAAGAGACGGAUAUCUACCUACAAGGCAAAUCCAAUCAACCAUUAUCCUCCAAUUGCCAGACCCUGCUAGUGGCACAUCCAUCAGUACAUGAACUGAAUAUGUCACAGAGUGUAUCAAAGCUAAGGUAGGUGCCUGUCCCACCAUCAGUUGAAUGAGAAGGUUUCUGAUAUCAGAAAUUGGGCUACCCUGCUUUGCCAAGACUCUCUUUUCCAAUCUCUCAAAGGCAGAUAAUAACACUAAUGGACAAUGUGGCCAUGAGCAUUAAAACAAAUCAUUAGGCUGGAGGCUUCUCAUCAGUGCUUGAGGGCAAUUUCACCACCUGGGGCUUUCCGAGAAGGCUUUUGAAGGCUCUGAAACAUGCUCAGUCUGCAGGAGUAUGCAGGCACCCACCGUGCCCCAAGAUAUGGACUGUGGAGCGUUCAUUGUCUCAACAAUUACUCACUGCAAGGAUAGGGAAAUUUGGCGACCUCAACCUGUCCAAGUCUUCAGGAUCUGCUGCUGCCACUGUUCACUGCAAUUCCUUAGGUUUAGCUUAAUUGGCGCCAUUGGGAACAUGUAGAAAUUCAUUUUAGAGAGUGCUACCUUGAUGACUUAACGGUCUUACAAUAGUAGGCAGAGACAGAAAGGGAAAAUGAACCGGUUCUCUGGAUUUAUUCUAGUCAAACACAGAGCCAGGCUGAACAGGGCUUUUGCUGCUCCAUCUUUGAGUUCCUGGGCAACUAUGUGGCUCCCUGAGCUUUUGUUAAGAAAAGCAGAAGCACCAGGGCACCCAGAUCCUGACGGCAUGUGGUAGGUGGAGAUUGCUCUCCUGCCCUGCAAGUUGGGCAAAUAGGAUGAAAAUUUCUGCACGUUUGAAGCAGAAAGAACAAAGAACAGAGACAGAUGGGGAGUGGAGCAAGAUGGUGGAAUAUGACUCUGUAGUGAUCAUCCACCCACAGAAACAUCAACUUGAGUAACUAUUCACAUGCAAAAAACCUUCACAAGAGCUAAGGAAACUAGAGGAUGCAGCACUCAAGGCACCACCUUGGGAGCAGAGAUCAGGCCCUCACCAGACACCAAACUUGUUGGUGCCUUGAUCUUUGACUUCCCAGCCUCCAGAACUGUGAAUUCCUGUAACACAAUCUUCACUUAUGUUUUUAUUAACACGUAAAACAUCUUUACCUCCACUGUCUUCUCUUCAUAAAAAGAGCUAAACACGUACACCUGGCCCAGGAGUCAGAAAAGCUGAAGCCAAACUGGGAAGGUAGAUCAAUUUCAGGCCCACAUGCUGCUUCAGGCUAAUGUGGUGAAUUACGCCAUCAGCAACAGGGAUCAGCUGCAAAAUGGCCACUGCCUGCCUUCUGCCUUCUAAAUCUCAAAAUGGCCACUGCCUUCCUUCUCCACUCCAAAUCAGAAUUGGGCCUUUGGGCCACAGGAUAUAAGUCUGACCUCCAGAGAGACAAGAAGAGGGUGCUGGAAGUUGAGUUCAGCUAUGUGGUCAAUGAUUAAGUCAUGCCUAUGUAAGAAAACCGCAAUAAUCACUCUGGACACUAAAGUUCAGAUAAACACUACAGAUUGCUACAGAUGAAUGCUACUGACAUGCUAAAGACUAUAUGACAAUUCCUUUUAAAGUCAGACACUCAAUUGUGAAAGAUGUGUGAACAAUCCAAUGAUGGAUGUCCGUUAGUUCAGUGCUGUCAAGCUGAGUUACUACUCCACAUCUCUGAUACUGAUGCUGUUUUUGCAGUCAUGAUUGAGUCGUUGAAGAAAAAAGCACUCUACAGAGUUCUGCCCAACUGUGUCCAAACAAGCAGCAACUUGAAAUAUCAUUGGCUUACUCAGCAGCAUCAGAACCCACAAAGCAAAGAGGUUAGAUCCAUCCAAGAGACUUUUCUGCAGCAGUAAAUGGAUUUGCCCUCUUUAGAGCAGGGAGCACAGCUCCAACACAAUUAUUCUUAUUGGAACAGACUAAGGAAUUUACUUCAAAUGAGGUUGUUGGUUGUCCUGUGAAAGCUGUGUCAGAAUAAAUAUUCAACUGCUCUUUGGAGGCAUAAUUUGUUAGCCCGUGAAUCAUUUGUGACCCAUGAGCUGCAUAUAGCUGACUUUGUUUAAAUGGAGGGAAAACUUCUUUCAUUCUAGCAAAACUUGUAUAAAGCUCAGGUAUAGAGAAAACACUUUAACGUUCAGUUCUUUCCAAAGGGGCCAU
rnacentral:lncRNA from 1 species